rfam:Camelus ferus unplaced genomic scaffold scaffold1212, whole genome shotgun sequence.
GAGGGUAUAGCUCAGUGGUCGAGUGCGUGCUUAGCAUGCACAAGGUCCUGGAAUCAAUCCCCAGUACCUCCA